CAGGCCUAACACAUGCAAGUCGAACGGCAGCGCGGGGCAACCUGGCGGCGAGUGGCGAACGGGUGAGUAAUAUAUCGGAACGUACCCUGGAGUGGGGGAUAACGUAGCGAAAGUUACGCUAAUACCGCAUACGAUCUAAGGAUGAAAGUGGGGGAUUCGCAAGAACCUCAUGCUCCUGGAGCGGCCGAUAUCUGAUUAGCUAGUUGGUGGGGUAAAGGCCUACCAAGGCAUCGAUCAGUAGCUGGUCUGAGAGGACGACCAGCCACACUGGAACUGAGACACGGUCCAGACUCCUACGGGAGGCAGCAGUGGGGAAUUUUGGACAAUGGGCGAAAGCCUGAUCCAGCAAUGCCGCGUGAGUGAAGAAGGCCUUCGGGUUGUAAAGCUCUUUUGUCAGGGAAGAACGGUGAGAGCUAAUAUCUCUUGCUAAUGACGGUACCUGAAGAAUAAGCACCGGCUAACUACGUGCCAGCAGCCGCGGUAAUACGUAGGGUGCAAGCGUUAAUCGGAAUUACUGGGCGUAAAGCGUGCGCAGGCGGUUUUGUAAGUCUGUCGUGAAAUCCCCGGGCUCAACCUGGGAAUUGCGAUGGAGACUGCUAGGCUAGAAUCUGGCAGAGGGGGGUAGAAUUCCACGUGUAGCAGUGAAAUGCGUAGAGAUGUGGAGGAACACCGAUGGCGAAGGCAGCCCCCUGGGUCAAGAUUGACGCUCAUGCACGAAAGCGUGUGGAGCAAACAGGAUUAGAUACCCUGGUAGUUCACGCCCUAAACGAUGUCUACUAGUUGUCGGGUUUUUAUUUACUUUGGUAACGCAGCUAACGCGUGAAGUAGACCGCCUGGGGAGUACGGGUCGCAAGAUUAAACUCAA
rnacentral:rRNA from 1 species